ACCCUGUAGCAUCUCUCAGACCAAACUAAUUUUCAUUUAUCUUCUUUCUCAUAAGCAACAGACGUGGUAGACUUAAGAUGUGGUGGGCAUUCUUUAUUCCAUUGCCUCAAAUGGCAUCAUCCACAGCUGGAAAAAAAAGUGUGAUCUGAGCUCUUUGCCAGGACGGAAGGCCUCUUUCAAAAUGCCCUCGAGGUUAGUUCACCCAGUGGUAUCCCAUAGGAGAAAUUUCCAGGAAGAAAUGCAGGGGGAGAGGUUGCCUCCUCCUCCACUCUGCCUUCCCCAGAGCCAGAACCUCUCAGAGGAGGCCCCUGCAGGGAUCUUUUGUGGUUGUCCAGACUCAGCUCUGUUUUACAUUUAUCAUGCUGGAUGGGGAGGCUGGGAACCCACUAAGAUGGCCCCUCCUGCCCCCCCUGCAGGGAGCAGAGACGGUGUUCACAGUGGAAGGGCCUGUGAGGAGAAGGGGUUGCUAAGGGCUGCCCAGCCAUGGGGUGGCCAGGGAGCCCCCUGGAGGGCACCAGACUGACUGCUGAUGCUGUGGGAUGAAAAGAAAGGCUUUGCGUCCAUUCAGCUCUACAAUGUGGGAGUCUGUGGAAUCAACUUGUGAGAUUCCCAGUGUCCUUAAUUGGUGAAUUAAAAGUGGCCACUGGCAGGGGCUGAUCCCAUGAUGUAGUGGUUAAGUUUUACACACUCCACUUUGGCAGCCGGGGUUCACAGGUUUGGAUCCUGGGCAUGGACCCACACCACUUGUCAGCCAUACUGUGGCGGUGACCCACAUAUAAAGUGGAGGAAGACUGGCAGCAGAUGUUAGCUCAGGGCCAGUCUUCCUCAGCAGAAAAAAAAAAAGGCCACUGGCAAAGCAGAAUGAGCCAUUUGGAGAAAAAGCCUCAGAGUCAUCAAGUAAAAGUGGAAAAGUUCUAGUUGGCUGGCCCGGUGUUGCAGCGGUUAAGUUCACACGUUCUGCUUCAGUGGCCCGGGGUUCACCGGUUCAGAUCCUGGGUGCGGACAUGGCAUCACUUGGCAAGCCAUGCUGUAGCAGGCAUCCCACAUAUAAAGUAGAGGAAGAUGGGCACGGGUGUUAGCUCAGGGCCAGUCUUCCUCAGCAAAAAGAGGAGGAUUGGCGGCAGAUGUGUACGUGGGGUCAGAGCCCGGGUUCCUGCCAUAUCUAGUUGUGCUGCCUCGGACAGGUCUCUGAAGUUGGCAGAGGACUGGCAUUCAUCAAACAGAAUGAGAUAGUUGUCAAGCGAAUCAGCAAAAUAUGAGGUUUCUGAGUUCCAAUCCAUGCUGGGUUGGUGUCAAAGUCCUACAAAG
rnacentral:lncRNA from 1 species